AAAGUAAAGUAGAAUCAAAUCAAAGCAGCAAGUGGGAAAGUGAGACACCGAACUCCUGGAUCCAGCUGUGCCUGAAGCAUCAGCUGUCGACUUUGUACCUCGUGAGCCAAGAAUGAUUGUAUCCCACCUCCUUACCCUGAUCUGGCGCGGCCCCUGC